UUUAAGGUGUGUUUAGGGCCUUGAACAUUGGAGCCCUCGAGGAGACUGAUGGUGCAAACAAGUCUGACUUUGUUCUUCUCCCUGAGAAACACUUUAGGGAAAAGUUAGAGGAGAGGUGCUCUGAAAACCCGAGUCUUCCCAGCCUAUUGGAAAAUAAGUAGACCUUCAUUAUAUUCUCAUUACUCCAGCUCUCAGCACAGAAAGGCAAAAAAUAAAGGUCACUAGCUUUUACCAUCUGUGCUAAAAUGAGAUGAAGGUAAUAGAGGACUCCAAGAUUUAUUGCUUAGCUGCUGAUCUGAGGCUUCAACAAAAAAAGAAUAGGUCUUACAAUUCCACAUUACUGUGAGUUGCUCAAAAUGAGAGGAGAUUUGCUGUUCACUGCAGAGCAAGGUCGGAUUAUAGGAAGAAAACAACUAGCUGGUUUUCAACGUCAGCUGCAGCUUCUGGUCAGGAAAUCCUGCAGCAUAUGCUUGUGUGUUUGUCCUUAUCAUUUCUACUGGAAAUUUUUUUCCACCAGAAAAUGGACCUUAUUCAAAC
rnacentral:lncRNA from 1 species